AGAGAGAGACAUGCGCGCAUAUCAAUAAGCGGAGGAAAAGAAACUAACAAGGAUUCCCUUAGUAACGGCGAGUGAAGCGGGAAGAGCUCAGAUUUGAAAUCUUCAAGGUUUUACCUUGACGAAUUGUAGUUUAAAGAAGUGUUUUCUGCUGAAGUUUUGGUAAAAGUUCUUUGGAAUAGGACAUCAUAGAGGGUGAGAAUCCCGUAUUCGACCAUUAUUUUCAGCUUUGUGAUACACUUUCAAAGAGUCGGAUUGUUUGGGAAUGCAGUCCAAAAUGGGUGGUAAAUUUCAUCUAAAGCUAAAUAUUGGCGAGAGACCGAUAGCGAACAAGUACCGUGAGGGAAAGAUGAAAAGAACUUUGAAAAGAGAGUUAAACAGUACGUGAAAUUGUCAAAAGGGAAGCGUUUGACACCAGUGUUGUUUUCUCGAAAAUCAAUUAAAAAUGGCUCGAUUUUGUAUUGUUGAGACCUUAAAAGCUCACUGUACAUUUUUCGUGUCUUUUUUAAUGCACUUUUCGUUUAACAAGUCAACAUCAGUUUCUUUUGUUGUAAAAGGGUCAUUGGAAGGUGGCUUUCUUUUCGGAGAAAGUGUUUAUAGCCUUUGGCCUCUGCAAUCGGAGAGACUGAGGUCUGCAGCGUAGACUCUUCGGGUUAGAUACAUUUGUGCUAAGUUAUAGCUUUUUAUAGACAACUUGUUGACUAUAAUUAGUCUUGUAGCUUACUCGCUUAUGCUAUUUUACCUACGCUUAGGAUGUUGAAGAUGUAGCACAUCAU
rnacentral:rRNA from 1 species